rnacentral:misc_RNA from 1 species
GGAAGUAAAGGUCGUAACAAGGUUUCCGUAGGUGAACCUGCGGAAGGAUCAUUCAUAAUAAGUGUUUUAUGGCACUUUUUUAAAUCCAUAUCCACCUUGUGUGCAAUGUCAGGGUUGAUUUUUCUCUCGAGAGGAUCAACCCCAAACAUCAACUAUAUCUCAACUCUUUGUCUGAAAAAUAUUAUGAAUAAAACAAUUCAAAAUACAACUUUCAACAACGGAUCUCUUGGCUCUC